rnacentral:rRNA from 1 species
AUUGAACGCUGGCGGCAUGCCUUACACAUGCAAGUCGAACGGUAACAGGUCUUCGGAUGCUGACGAGUGGCGAACGGGUGAGUAAUACAUCGGAACGUGCCCGAGAGUGGGGGAUAACGAGGCGAAAGCUUUGCUAAUACCGCAUACGAUCUCAGGAUGAAAGCAGGGGACCGCAAGGCCUUGCGCUCACGGAGCGGCCGAUGGCAGAUUAGGUAGUUGGUGGGAUAAAAGCUUACCAAGCCGACGAUCUGUAGCUGGUCUGAGAGGACGAUCAGCCACACUGGGACUGAGACACGGCCCAGACUCCUACGGGAGGCAGCAGUGGGGAAUUUUGGACAAUGGGCGAAAGCCUGAUCCAGCAAUGCCGCGUGCAGGAUGAAGGCCUUCGGGUUGUAAACUGCUUUUGUACGGAACGAAAAGCCCUGGGUUAAUACCCUGGGGUCAUGACGGUACCGUAAGAAUAAGCACCGGCUAACUACGUGCCGGCAGCCGCCGCCGUAA